AUACGUAGGUGGCAAGCGUUGUCCGGAUUUACUGGGCGUAAAGGGCGUGUAGGCGGUCUUGCAAGUCAGAAGUGAAAUUCCUGAGCUCAACUCGGGCGCUGCUUCUGAAACUGCAGGACUUGAGUGCUGGAGGGGAUAGCGGAAUUCCUAGUGGAGCGGUAAAAUGCGCAGAUAUUAGGAAGAACACCGGUGGCGAAGGCGGCUAUCUGGACAUUAACUGACGCUGAGGCGCGAAAGCGUGGGGAGCAAACAGGAUUAGAUACCCUGGUAGUCCACGCCGUAAACGACGAAUACUAGGUGUAGGGGGUAUCGACUCCCUCUGUGCCGCAGUUAACACAAUAAGUAUUCCGCCUGGGGAGUACGGCCGCAAGGUUGAAACUCAAAUGAAUUGACGGGG
rnacentral:rRNA from 1 species